rnacentral:rRNA from 1 species
UACGUAGGGAGCAAGCGUUGUCCGGAAUCAUUGGGCGUAAAGCGCGCGUAGGUGGCCACAUAAGUCCGUUGUGAAAGUCAAAGGCUCAACCUUUGAAAGCCGAUGGAUACUGUGUGGCUAGAGUACGGAAGAGGCGAGUGGAAUUCCUGGUGUAGCGGUGGAAUGCGCAGAUAUCAGGAGGAACACCGAUAGCGAAGGCAGCUCGCUGGGACGGUACUGACGCUGAGGCGCGAAAGCGUGGGGAGCGAACAGG